CAUGGUUGUCGUCAGCUCGUGUCGUGAGAUGUGGUUAAGUCCCGCAACGAGCGCAACCCCUAUUGCUAGUUACCAUCAUUAAGUUUGGGGACUCUAGCGAGACUGCCAGUGAUAAACUGGAGGAAGGUGGGGAUGACGUCAAAUCAUCAUGCCCCUUAUGACCUGGGCUACAAACGUGAUACAAUGGCUGGAACAAAGGGAUGCGAAGCAGUGAUGUGGAGCGAAACCCAUAAAAACAGUCUCAGUUCGGAUUGAAGUCUGCAACUCGACUUCAUGAAGUCGGAAUCGCUAGUAAUCGCGGAUCAGAACGCCGCGGUGAAUACGUUCUCGGGGUUU
rnacentral:rRNA from 1 species